UCCUGUUUCACACGCUCGCUCAGGUCCUUUGGGGCUUGGUGUCGCUUGUCCCUCGUGCUCCCGUUGCUGUCACCGCGUGUUGUUCCUUUCCCCAUGCUCAGCUCUGCCCAGUGCUGAUGGGAUGCCAGUGCCACCUGCUGCUCUCAACAAAAGGUAGGUUCAAUUCCUUUUGGCUCCUGUAGUAUUUGCUACACUUGUGUUCUGUUUCUCCUCGCUUUUUUCCAUGUUGCCUGGCGGUGCCUCGCUGGAGUUCCCAUGAGCCCCGGGCCCACUUGUGAUCAAGUGAGGUGCCAAAAAAAGAGGUAUCUCCUAAACAGGCUUCUGCUGAGUGCUGUCCUCGUCUUGGGCUUUGUCCAAUGCCGACCUUUCUUUUCUAACCCACUUUGUUGAGGACGGCGUGUGAGGCUUUCUUCUUUCUUUGUAGGAUUGGCGACUCCACCACCAGUAGUAGCAGGCGUUUUGGGAUGUCCAAGGUUCCGCAGUGAGCGUGUCCUGUUCCUGGUAAAGGUGUGGGCGUUCCUGGACACGAAGGUAUCUAUCUUCAUGCCUUGCCCAUGUGCCCAGUCCCCCACCAGAUGCUGUUUGCCUUUUGGCCCCCCUGAUUUGCUGCACUGCUGCACCCUGAUCCUUGCAGAGGGCCUCUCAUUGGUCACCGGCAGCGCCGUCCCGCCCUCGUCAGCCUGUGAUUGGUCACCGGCAGCGCCGUCCCGCCCUCAUGUGCCUCUCAUUUGUCAUCGGCAGUGCUGUCCCGCCCUCAUGUUCCUCUCAUUGGUCACUGG